AUGUACACAUUUGUUCACUAUUGCAAUCCAAUGAGGACCAGUCAGCGAAGCAGUCCGGACGUCUCCGUGGUCUAUAUCUCUUUUCUUUCUCUUCACAUGCAUGACUCCCCUCUCCUCUCUCUCUUCCCAACAAGACACCAUACCUUAAAUAGCCAUCAUAUGUAUGGUCCUCAUCUACAUUUUUUUCUCCCAGCCGGAUACUUUGUAAUCAGCGUUGGAUGGUUCUCUCUCAUAUCAUGUUCGUGGACCAUGCCUGGACACAAAAACAGAUAUAUACCAAAGAAAUUUACGGGUCGGUGUUGGAGAUGA
rnacentral:rRNA from 1 species